AUGUAUGGUCCGUCUUGUGUGCUUCUGGUAUUUGUGGGUUGAAAGCUCUAAUACCACUCGGCAUGCCUGCUGUUUUGAGGGAGGAGGCUUCUUCUGAAACAGAUAGCUAGCACCCCUCCCUCUGUCCCUGGCUCCUCUCUCACCCCUCCCAAGCCAAAGGCUCAAGCAGGUGACCCGUUAAGCCGGGGUCAGUUUUCAGCACCAUCUCAAGAGGGAAUCCCAGCCUAUCCCUUUUUUCCACGCUGCCUGAAGCUACCACCCGACACCAGGAUCCACAGACAUAGCAGCACCACAGAAGCAACAACACUCUCACACUCGGUUCACACACACUACUCGCUCGCUAGACUGGACACACACAGAGUAGGGACACUGCCACAGGCACACUAGGUCACACACACAGACUGUUGGUUCACACAUAGCUUGCUCGCUGUGCUGGACACACACACAGGGUAGGGAUGUCUUCGAGCCUGGUGACACACAAAGAGCAGGGAUGUCUUCCAGCCCUCGACCUAACAUGGAGUUCCAAGCUCUCCACCAGGCCCAUCGGAACCGCUGUAAGAACACAGAUGCGUACAUGUGUCGCCACAGCCUGUCCUUCCAUCUGCACCACACCCUGAGGACUGAAUUAUUUGCCAGCUUCCUGUACCUGCUGGAGCAGAUCCCCCUGGGUGGCCAUGGAAAUCCCACUCCUGGAACUCUGCCCAGUCAGUCAAGUAGAGAAGCAGUUCUAGUACAAAGCGCAGAAGUUCUACGAGGACGUGGAGCCGUCAGAGGGAAUGAUGGGAGAUUUCAUUGAGAUCUCCCACGUCGACCUAGAAGGCUCCAGGAACUUUCUGAGCAGGUUUACUGUAAGUCUACUAAAGAACACGUGUCACUGAAAUGACACUUCUAGCUUGGAUUAUUAUUUUUUAUUUUAUUUUUUUGCCUUUAUUGAAUACUCUAUUGUAGUGAAUGCUGUAUUCGUGCACACAACAGAGCUUAUAUGUGUCACAGAACCCAAGAUGAUAUUUCUACUGUUAUCUGUGUAUUGCAUGAAAUGCAUAAUCUUUCUGGUAUAAAAAUAUCUUCUCCCAUGAGCCAAACCUUUUGUCAUCUACAAAGGUGGACGCACCUUCGCCCAAAACACAUUAUGUACUGUAGCUAAUGGUCAUCUUGACCACCUGCCAGACCAGCUGUAUAAUAAUACGUGCCCAGAUCCCAGAUGUUAAUCCCCAUGUACCCUGUGUAAAUGUUACACUCGUCUACAUUCAGUAUGCAUGGUCUUAGAGUGUGUGUGUGCGUGUACUUACAUGAAUGUUAAUGGGAAUGUGUGUGACAUGGAAACAGGUCUAUUUAUAGUGUCAUCUGGUGUAUUUCUCAUUGUGAUCUGCUGGGAUUUGGGGGUUAAAGGAAGUAGAGAAUACAUGGGGCGGACUUUGUGAGCCUAAUGUUAACACACUCAUACCAAUUUUACGCAGCACCUAAGAUAUCACUGCUACUGUCCAGUAUACUGCUACCGUACAUGACAGAUAGAGGAUACUGUCCAUUGUGAUGAUCUGGCCUACACCUGUCUACUGUACCUUUUGUUGCCAGCAGAGUUCUAUACUGAUUCCAGGAGAAGACUAUAAUAAUCUGCAAACAAUGUUUACAUUUCAUUUGUUACAUUUAAAGGAGCAAUCAAUUUUGGAUGUAUAAAUUAAUAUUUACCCAUUGAUUCUUGAAUAUUAUAACUUAGAAAUGCCUCAUGAGCUUCGUUCAACCAUCAGAACCCAAAAUAUAAUCUUGUUUAACUCCAAUGUUUGUAAACAAAGUAAUUGUAAACAAACACUGAAAGCCCUCAAAACAUGAUUUAAACUAUAAUUUUGAUAUCAUGGAUGGCCAGUCCUUGCAUCCAUAGCUCUGUCUUUGAAUUUGAAUGUGGUUACAUUUCUCCAGCCCCAUCCUCCCCACUUUUUACCGAAACAGUGGUGGGAGUAAUCUUUCUUAUUUUUUUUAACUGCUGAUUGCCGCUUUAAUCAGUCACUAGAAAAAUCUAGGCAAAGCAGGGUGACUUUGACAAUGAUGCUUUUAGGUAACAGACUCGCUGUUUCCAUUCAGUAAUCAGACUAGUGAUGUCAGAUGUCCUCACACAAAUGCCACACUGCUUUGUCCAAAUGUCAAAAGUCCUGCAGAUGACUGAUAUAGCGUUACUUACACAACACACUGUCUCAAUUUACACAUCAUGCAUAGGGCUGUGGCGGUCAUAAAACUUUGUCAGCCAGUGAUUGUCAAGCAAAUAACUGCCGGUCUCAUGGUAAUUGACUGUUAAUUAACAAACACAUUUAGCAUCUCCCGGCCUCCACACAUAGCCUACAAGCCACUGAUGCAGACCUUUGGAACAUCUACAUUUUAAAAAGUCUAAUAAAUCCAUGUAAUAUACCCUACACCUUCACAAUAAAUCCAUUAUUUAUUUUAGACAGGUCUAAAGAAACAUGAUAUGAAGAAAAUUUAGUCUAUUUCAGAAGAACAAAAUAGCAUACUCUGAGUUGUCCUUUUGUUAGGCCUUGAUCUGGCUAUACCAUAUGGCCAGUGGCGAUUUUAGCAUGUAAAUCUUGGUGGGGCAAGCAAAGCCACUACACAACACAACACUAAACAAUACAUUCAUUAGACUAUAAUGGUGACAAACGGUUCCCACAAAUUGUUAGGGCCUACAUAAAGCUGUCCCAACAGCAGAGUCCCAUCAGCAGUCCCAACACCUUACCACUGUUACACCUGGCUAUCAACGGAACCUUGUCUGACAGCGAAACAGUUCAUUCAGCCUCAUUUACUGCCUUUUCAAAAAACAUAGCUGAUAUGGCUGACUUGCUUAAACAAAUGUGGUUUCUACUGACAGUUGAGAUGUACAAACUAUGGCAUAAGGGGAUGACGAGCGGAUAAGAAGCAAUCCGUAAUUUCACUUUAAGACAUCAAUGAGCAAGCUACGAAGGACGUACCUAAUAUAACUAUUUGUUAAGCACUUUGGAAAUGUACAGUGACAGAAUUCAGAAAAUGGGCCAUUCUUACACCAUUCUCCCUGUACACCAAGUCAGAACCGUAGGAUAAAUAAAAGUUGCAGAUAAGGAAAGCUCUUACAAUAUUCGAUGAUGACAUUUAUCUAAAACAGGUUAUAGACUACAUGUGUAGGCUAACAGUAGGCUAAGUUAUAAGGGGGAAAGCGGACAAAUGUAUUAGGGUGAGGCACAUGGGCUACUAACAGCUUACUACAAAACAUACACUUAGUAUUACUUUCUUAGCUACAGUAUACAUAUCUCCCUGUGUCACGUCUACUCCCGCUCCUCCCCUCCGGUGUUUGACGUCGCCGGUAUACUGACCACUGGUCCUGGGAUCCAUCAUUAUGCACACCUGCAGAUCGUCAUGAUACUCACCUGGACUUCAUUACCUUCCUGAUUAUCUCCCCUAUAUCUGUCACUCCCUUGGGUUCCCUUCUAAGUCAGUAUUGUUUCUUUGUUCAUCAUUAAACUCCACUGUUAAGUUGUCUCAUUUCAUGUUUGUUGUUUUAUUAAACGUUUCAUCUUCACCUGCUUCUCGACUCAGUGUGUCCGUUACACCCUGGCAUAUUACAUCAUUUAUGCAGCAGCAUUCAAGACAUUUUUUGACUCACCUUGUUGUGCUGUGCUCACUUGAACAGAAAGGUGGUGCGUCGGUCCUUCGUGGGCAAAUUUUGUCUUCAAGUCUGGCAUUCUCUGGAUUUAUGGUGCUUUCAAGACAACUGGGAACUCGGAAAAAACAAGGUUGAAUCAUGAUGUUAGUGAUAUUCAGGUUGGAGCUCUAGAAAGAGGCCUGAGUUCCCAACUUGGAAUUCCGAGUUGGAUGACUGUUCAAAAUGUAAUUUCCCAGUUCCUAGUUGUCUUGAACUCACUGAAGUCUUGUCACGACUUCCGCCGAAGUCGGUCCCUCUCCUUGUUCAGGCGGCGUUCGAUGUCACCGGCUUUCUAGCCACCGCCGAUCCACUUUUCAUUUUCCAUUUGUUCUGUCUUUGUCUUAUCACACCUGGCUUCACUCACCAAUCACUUGUUUAUUAUUUAACCCUCUGUUCCCCAUGUUGUAUUUGUGAGUGAUUGGUAUUUUGUUAUGUGGAUUAUUGUCAGGCGUUGCACUUUUGUUUUAGACGGUGUUUUGGCACUUGUAUGUGUUAUGUGCUGUCAUUUAGUAACCGGUAUUAAAGUGCACCUG
rnacentral:lncRNA from 1 species